rnacentral:rRNA from 1 species
UACGGAGGAUGCAAGCGUUAUCCGGAAUGAUUGGGCGUAAAGCGUCCGCAGGUGGCUGUGUAAGUCUGCUGUCAAAGAGCGAAGCUCAACUUCGUAAAGGCAGUGGAAACUACACGGCUAGAGUGCGUUCGGGGCAGAGGGAAUUCCUGGUGUAGCGGUGAAAUGCGUAGAGAUCAGGAAGAACACCGGUGGCGAAGGCGCUCUGCUAGGCCGCAACUGACACUGAGGGACGAAAAGCUAGGGGGAGCGAACAGG